rnacentral:rRNA from 1 species
UACGUAGGGAGCAAGUGUUGUCCGGAAUUACUGGGCGUAAAGCGUGCGCAGGCGGCUUUGCAAGACAGAUGUGAAAUCCCCGGGCUUAACCUGGGAACUGCAUUUGUGACUGCAUUGCUGGAGUGCGGCAGAGGGGGAUGGAAUUCCGCGUGUAGCAGUGAAAUGCGUAGAUAUGCGGAGGAACACCGAUGGCGAAGGCAAUCCCCUGGGCCUGCACUGACGCUCAUGCACGAAAGCGUGGGGAGCAAACAGG